ensembl:lncRNA
AAGCGGAAGAUGCACCAUGCCUGGGCACCAUGUGUCUAAAAUCAGUGUUGUCAACUCGGUUUAUAGCAAACAUCCUCACAAAAAUGGCUGUUCUGCUUGGACUUUUUUCUGCUCUCCUAUUUGUGUCUGAAGCCAUAUUUGUGUACAAUGUCAACUCGACCGUCAUGGACUCAGCACUCCUGGAAUGUAGCGUGCCAGUUAAAACAGACUUGAAAAAUCUUCGCUUUUACUGGCAGGAUGAAAGGAAUUAUGUUUUGUACUCUUUCAAUAAAGGAAAGACAAUGUUCAACCAUGUAAACGACCCUUAUCUGAACAGGGUCUCGGCCUUCACCCAGGACAUGACGAAAGGAAAUAUUUCAGUCCUAGUCAAGAAUUUGACUCUUGGAGAUAAUGGGAGGAUAUUUGAAGCUUACGCUGCAGUUUUUAAUGGUUCGAAGACAGUGAUGCAGAACUCAAAAGUUUGCCAUGUAAAUUUGUAUGUAACAGUGCCUUACAAGGACCUCAAGCUGGCUGUAAACACUAAAAUGAUGACUUCAGUGUGUACGCUGCGCGAUGUAUUUCCAGCUCCUGAGAUACACUGGACCAUCCACUACAACCACUCUGAAUCCUUAGUUGACUCGAAGUAUGUCCACACUAAGACAGAGCAGGACCCUGAAAACUAUCUGUACACCUCCAGCAGCACUCUCCACAUCCCUGCAGGUCCUUACCGAGCCAUUACCUGUCUGUGCCACAACCCCACUUCAAAUACGACUCUGAACGCCACCUAUACUUUAAGCAAAGGUGCAGCAGUAUGGAGUUUACCUGGCUGGUCUGCAGGUCUCAUAGUGGCUGCUGCGGUUCUUCUAACAGCUCUGAUGCAGCUGUAGUUCACACAUGAUGGCUUGGUUUUGGUGGUGGACGACUUCAGCUGGUCUAGGAGUUUCAAAGUACACCAAAGUUUGUGUGACUUUUGAUGUAUUUAUAAGUGUAUUUAUGCCACACUACUCCAGUCUUAUUGCAAGCCUAAAUCAGAGACUUUUGAAAAUGCUGCUUAUCCAGUUUCAGUCUGGCUGGAUGGGAAAACACAGACUGAGUUUCAUGAAUCAGAAAAAUGAAACCAAAAGAUCACACCUAGGAUCAGGUUCCCUGUGUGGUUUCAUCCUUUUCGUGUUGGGUAGUUACUUCAGGAUUUCAGAAAAGGAACAAUUGCGCACACAUGUGGGUUAAAAACCUCGAGUUGGAUAAUAAUAGUUCUGCUGCGGGCAGAAGAUGAAAGGAGUAGAGAUUGUGAAGGUGGAUGAGUUUAAAUGUUUGGGCUCGACCAUCCAAAUAGACAGAGCGCACGAAACGUGAAGAAGAAGGAACAGAGGAAGACCUCAGAGAUUCAUGGAUGUAGUGAAGGAGGACUGGUGACAGAGGAGGGUGCUGGGAGUGAUCUGUUUUGAAAAGCAGCUGAAAACUCCUUUUAAACUUGUUUGUUUUUUAGCACUAUGAUUGUGAAGCAC